CCCAAACAGAAGGUUUAUUUUACAUGUUUAACAUCAAAAUACAUGAACAAUGAAAUUCAGAACAGUUUUAGAAUGAUGUAUGCUGUAUAGAUCUAUUCUUUAGUUGAAACUAGAACUCAAUUCUGAGAAAGGAUGGAGGGCAUCUUUGCUAAAAGAAUUUUGACCCUGGGAGUUAUGAUCUGCAUCUUAACAACAGCAUUAUCACAGACUCUUUUCAUCAGG